rnacentral:rRNA from 1 species
GACGAACGCUGGCGGCGUGCUUAACACAUGCAAGUCGAACGGAAAGGCCCUGCUUUUGUGGGGUGCUCGAGUGGCGAACGGGUGAGUAACACGUGAGUAACCUGCCCUUGACUUUGGGAUAACUUCAGGAAACUGGGGCUAAUACCGGAUAGGAGCUCCUGCUGCAUGGUGGGGGUUGGAAAGUUUCGGCGGUUGGGGAUGGACUCGCGGCUUAUCAGCUUGUUGGUGGGGUAGUGGCUUACCAAGGCUUUGACGGGUAGCCGGCCUGAGAGGGUGACCGGGCACAUGGGGACUAAGGGACGGAGCAGAGGGGAAGGGGAGGCAGCAGGCGGGAGUGUGGCACAGCGGUCGGGCGCCGGAGAAGGCGGCGCCGGGUGCGGGAAGCCGGUCUGUGGGGAGUGAAACGCAUUCGCCUAUGACGACGCGUGAGUGACGGUAACGAAAGAAGAAGCACCGGCUAACUACGUG